rnacentral:tRNA from 2 species
GCAGGUGAAGUCAUAAUGGGAUGACGCCAGCCUUCCAAGCUGGAACUAGCGGGUUCGAUCCCCGUCACCUGCACCA